rnacentral:rRNA from 1 species
UGUUUCGGCUAGGGGGCCAUCCCGGCUUACCAACCCGAUGCAAACUGCGAAUACCGGAGAAUGUUAUCACGGGAGACACACGGCGGGUGCUAACGUCCGUCGUGAAGAGGGAAACAACCCAGACCGCCAGCUAAGGUCCCAAAGUCAUGGUUAAGUGGGAAACGAUGUGGGAAGGCCCAGACAGCCAGGAUGUUGGCUUAGAAGCAGCCAUCAUUUAAAGAAAGCGUAAUAGCUCACUGGUCGAGUCGGCCUGCGCGGAAGAUGUAACGGGGCUAAACCAUGCACCGAAGCUGCGGCAGCGACGCUUAUGCGUUGUUGGGUAGGGGAGCGUUCUGUAAGCCUGCGAAGGUGGCCUGUGAGGGUUGCUGGAGGUAUCAGAAGUGCGAAUGCUGACAUAAGUAACGAUAAAGCGGGUGAAAAGCCCGCUCGCCGGAAGACCAAGGGUUCCUGUCCAACGUUAAUCGGGGCAGGGUGAGUCGACCCCUAAGGCGAGGCCGAAAGGCGUAGUCGAUGGGAAACGGGUUAAUAUUCCCGUACUUGGUGUUACUGCGAAGGGGGGACGGAGAAGGCUAUGUUGGCCGGGCGACGGUUGUCCCGGUUUAAGCGUGUAGGUGUGUGUUCCAGGUAAAUCCGGUU